ensembl:lncRNA
ACCGGCUCAUCUGAAUCAUUGAAAAGAUUCACUUCCAAUGAAUGAAUCAUUAACGGAUCGGACAUCGCUCUAUAGUGCCAUCAACCUCCGCCCAUAAACUCUGCCACUUCCUCUUCACGUUUAAUUGCCUACAUACUCAAACAGAUGACACAUCUACCGACACCGAUGGCUGUGGGAAGAGGGAGACUUUCCAUUAAGGAUUCUUUGAGGAAAUGACUGGCUGAGUCGCAUUUCCGUGGUAAAGUGAAGAGCUUGCUGGGAAUGAUUAUUCUCGCUGACUAUAAUGAAACAAGCGGCGCUGGACGUGUAUUCAGUAUUACUUGCAGACAGAUGUGUUGAAGACCGUUCAUUAGAAGAAACUAUGAUACUCAUCCACUGAUGUUCAACUUCAUGAUCAAAACAAACGCACGUCGGACUGCGUCAACCCGACAAGGAUGGUCUGCGAUUUCUUGGAACUGCAAGGAUAUGAACUGACACAGGGGCUGGACUGACUUUUGUGCUGUGCUCUGUGAAACACAACUUAAAAACCAUACUCAAACUCUCAUACACACAUGCACAGUGAUACGCGUGGUGUUACAAGGGCGGAAAACAACGUGCCUACUAAUGAUGGCGUAGCCAGAAGAAACAACAUGUCCUUCCAGCACAGAUGGCAAGUUUCAUUGGGGAUCUUGCUUGUGAUGGCAGGCCUGGUGCUCUUUAUGACUAUGGAUAUGUACAUUGUUCUCAUUGGCAUGGCUAUAGUGUGUCUGGGUCUGUUUAUUCUCAUCCGUGCCUUCUGCACGGUGAUUAAAUCCAGUCAUGUAGCUGUGACGGGACACUUUCUUCUACACCCGCGAACAGGCACCCAAUAUACCCACCAUCAAGCCAUUGCGGUGCAAAGGAGGCUGGAUCGGAUCCGGAGGGCUACGGCAGAGCAGCACAGUUCAGUCCAAGUGCCUCCCACCUCAGACACCAGUCCACAGAGCCAACCUGCAACCCCUCCCCCCUGGCAAAUGGAGCCGCCACCAUCCUAUGAGACUGUUAUGAAGACCACUACAGCUAUGCCAGCAUUCCUGGAAAUGAAAAUAGUAAGAUUGCUCAAGCCAAUGCAACCUUUACCUGGGGGAAGGUCACCUUACUAAGGCCCAUUACAGGUUCAAUGGUCCAAAUCUCGGUUCUCCACUGACCCUGCGUCCUGUCACUCACUCCAGCCUCCACCUCUAUGGGGACACAUUCAUAAAGCUCCACCCUCUCACCGGUACUUUCCUCUGUUAACUAAACAUACCACCACUGGACUUCUAAGUUUCCUCCAUGGCAGAGAACAAGCCAUACCGUUAUGGGCUCAUCAUUCUGGGGAUGGCGUUUGUGGCGUUGGGUCUGUUCAUGAUUUCUGUAGAGAAGCCACAGGUGUUCGCCACGUUCUGCACUGCGGGAGUGAUAAUGGUGGUUAUGGGGACCGUCUGGUCGGUGUGUCAGUGUUACCCCAGGGUAAGGAGGGUGGGCUGUUACCACUGUUUCCUAAUAGAUGGAUUUCAUGUUUUAUGUUCACUGCAGAGAAUCAAGCAUGUGCAUAUAAUUUGUCUCUUUGUAGAAUUCAAGGUGACAAAACUAUGUUGGUGUAGCAUGGUAAAUAAAUGGAGUUGUCAAAGCAUAAUAUCAGAUCUUAGGUUAUUAAUACUCAAAGUUAGAGUUUGAAUUGUUUUACAUUUGAGUGUUUCACCUGUCCUACAGGUGACUGUCAUACUGCCAGAUAAAGAAAAGCUCUAUGGGGCUGGGAAACAGGACUUGAGUGCUGGAAGCUCAGAUGAAAAAAGUCCAACGAAACCAAUAGCAGCUCCUUUGGCUGGCUUCUGUGAUGAUGAAGUAGAAGAAACAUCGACAGAUCCAAAACUCCACACAGAGAACAAACACAGGGAGCGUGUCAUAGUACUCCAGACAUGUCGAAGUUCUCCCAGUGUUCUGGCCUGCUCCAGCACUCCUCUGACAGACAGAAGAACUCCACGAACAGACCCCAACAGAGAGAUGUACUAUGGGAAAGUGGAAGACUCAUGUUACUACACAUCUGAGUUGGAGAGUGAAUAGUUCCUGUUGAUCCUAAUGUCCAAAUCAUCAUCUACAUAUGACUUAAAACAAGAUUUGCCAGACACCUAUGUAGUAAUACUGUUUUUUUUAAUAACUUGUACAAUAACAAAACAUUUAUGCAUGUAAUUUGUCAUCACAUUUUACAUUAGGCUGUUAAUUAUGUUGAUGUCACAAGGUCUGGCCAUGAUUGUAUCAAAAGCAUAUGAUAAUAGAAUCUCUCUCAGGGAAAUAAGGCUGGAAAAAGUUUAGGUGAAGAAAUACUCGUGACCAUGACUCAUGUCACCACGAAGACCAAAGGACACUGAAAGAGGAACUGCCUGGUGUGAAGUUUUUAUUUUUUAUCUAUGAUGCUCCUUCAAAAGAGAUCCUUUACAUUUGAGACAGCACAAUAAUUAUAAUUCAUUUAUGUUUUAGAUUAUUUAAAUGUAGUGCAAUGUGUAAAACUGAUAAUUGUUGAGACAGUUCUAAAUAUUUUUAGUCAUGUAAAAAAUGGAUUUUGCAAUACUGAACAGGGAAUCAUCUCGGCCACAAAAUAUAAGUACUCACACACGAUAGUUUUUUUUCUGUCAUGGUGGGGACUUUCCAUUUAUGAGGUUCCAUUUGUGCCAAAAAGGAGUCAACUGCUUUGUGCUAUACAUUUCUCCAUGUCUUCGGUCAGUGCCUAUGUGUUGAGAUAAACAAAGAACAUACUUAUCAACAUUCAUAAAUUUAUGUCCUCUUGUUCUGUCAUCCACCUUGCCAAACAUGUUCUGUCCUUCAUAGAAGGCUAUUUCCAAAUAUGGUGUUCCAAUUGUGCCAAAAAGUGUAGACUACUUUGUACGAUACAUUUGUUUGUGACCAUUGUUAUUGCUGUUGUUUCAUUUGUGUUAUCUGUUCAUGUCGUCCUCCCUGUCAUGUGUUCAGAUCUGUUUUAUGCUAUAAGUUACUGCUCUCAGUGAACAUCUAGCAUUGUAUUUUAGAGUUAUCCAGGUAAACAAACAGAAUUAGACACCCCCUUUAUACUGAGCUAAUGGUAUUUUCUAUCCUCUAACCCUAACCAUGAACCUCACAAACAUUUCUGCAUUACACAUUAUGCAGGUGCUGGUCAUAUAAUUAGAAUAUCAUCAAAAAGUUGAUUUAUUUCACUAAUUCCAUUCAACAAGUGAAACUUGUAUAUUAUAUUCAUUCAUUACACACAGACUGAUAUAUUUCA